GAAUACUGCUGCUGCUGCUGCUGGUGGUGAUGAUGAUGGUGGCGGUGGUGCUAGGCAUCGUUGUGUAAACAUUAUCAUCAUGAUCAUGAUCAUCAUCAUCAUCAUCUUAU
rnacentral:miRNA from 1 species